UUUUAGUUUUUGUCGUUUUGAUCGAAGUAAAAUGGAACGUUUUCUUUUAACAAAAUUCGAGAAAUAGCGGAAAACUUUUAUUAAUAAUGCGUUCCGUAGUGAAAUUUUGGGACAUCAACAAGUUUUUAACGAAAAUUGGUGAUGGAUUAUCGUCACAUUGGUAAUUUAUCAAACGUCAUGGACCAACAAGCUUCAUGGACCAGAGUAGAUCUGCGAUAACGCACACAUAUAUGAAAUUUUACACCGGUAAAUCCCCCCUGGGUGUAAUGCCUUGUUCAGACUACGCCGCAUAUCAUCUGAUAUCGCCAGAUAUCGGAUAUCACUUCGGGUGUUUACUUUACAGAGAGGUGAUAUUAUUUGCUUUGGUAAUAAAAAAGAGCAAAGAAAAGCAAAGUUUUUGGUGCUACAUUUCGUAUCGGAAUUUGACCCUCUGUUACCGACUCCGCAGCCGACUGUUGAGCGUACAGGACAAUUGCGGAGCUAGCGCUACAAUCCUACUGACACCAAUAGCACAUAUAUAAGACAUACGUAACAGUCAGGAAGAAAUCUUUCGAAAAAGUUGGUACAAAAUGAACUCCUCGAAUGGCACCAUAUUCUGAAUAAAAUCACUGGUUGAGUAGUUUCUGAAGGCGGUGUACCUGCGCAGCCCUGCAUUUGUCUAGUUUCCACUCGAAAAAUGCUGCAUUGAUUUUGUAGAGAACUUUUUGACAGUUCCUUAUGGGAUUUUCUUUGGGGCUCGAUGAUGCCGAGAAAAAGAAGAUUCAUUUUGUUCAUUAUUCGUCGAGCAGUUUGACAGGACGGAGUACGGAGUACUAUGGAGCAACGUGUACCAGAAAAAAAGGCCAGUGUUACGUAUGUCUUAUGUAUGUCUCUCCCGAGCUGUAACUCGAACACACGAACACUGGCUCGUUAGGCCAGUAUCGUACCUCGAGAUCAGCUGGGAGAAGAGAACAAAAACAGGUCAAAGCAUAAACAAGAGAACAGGAGCAAUGCAAUUAGGAUAGAGAUGUCAGCUGGUUGGCUCGCACAGAAGCGAACUCUCGUAUGCAAUUCGGUUGUUAAGCUAUACCAGUUUUCAAAAAAUUGCUAUCGUCCUUCGGAUGUUAAAUCACAAAUUGGGUUACUUAGCUAUUCACGGAUUUUCGAUUUUGAUAUAUCAUCUGAAAGAGUGUAAUUUUCUUAGCAAAACGUGAUUUUUUAAAACAUUAUAUCAUUAUUCUUCGAUUUUUAAAUUAAGAAUAAAAAUUCGCUCUUAAUCGCUACAAUGACAGUUGGUAUAUGGGCGAACUGUUAUGUUGCGACUUCGAGCAGUUUUAAAUCGUGAUUUAAAAAGCAAGGAACAACGAUAGAAUUUUUUUUAAAUCACGUUUUUCUUAGAAAAUGCAGAUCUUUCAGAUGAUAUAAAAACUGAUAUAGUUAAACAACCCAAUUAAAACUACUCGAAAUCGCUACAAUGACAGUUCGUCCACAUACGUAAUACAUAAGUAACACUGGUGUUUUUUUCUGGUACACGUUGCUCCAUACUACGCCUUACUCCGACCUGUCAAACUGCUCGAUAGAUAAUGAACAAAAUGAAUUUUCUUUUUCUUUGCCUUGUCGAGCCCAAAAGAAAACUUCAUAAGGAACUGUCAAAAAGUUAUUUACAAAAUCAAUGCAGAGUUUUUCAAGUAGGAACGAGACAAAUGCAGGGCUGCGCAGGUACACUGCCUUCAAAAACAACUCAAACAGUGAUUUUACUCAGAGUGUCGUACCAUUCGAGUAGUUCAUUCUGUACCAACUUUUUUGGAAGAUUUCUUCCUGACUGUUACAUAUGUCUUAUGUAUGUGGUUCGUCCAUGUAUUAACUGUCAUUCAAGCGAUUCAGGGCGCGAUUUUAUUCUUCAUUUGAAAAUCGAAGGACAAUGAUAUGAAACACACAUAAAUUGACAAUUGCAUAUGAGCAAUAUAGCACGAAUUGCCUGAUAUCAGGAGAUAUGCGGUGUAAUGUGAACGGGGUAUAUAAAAGAUUUUAAAGGCUGUUCGCAUCUACGCGAACUCUUAUAAGUAAUCGACAAAAUGUGCGUGAUGACUUGGUGAUGACAGAAGCAAAAAUAUAUUUUUCCUUCUUUUGAACAUAUAUCCAGCUUUUUACGUGCUAUAAUGGCGGACGUUAUAAUGCAAAGUUCGUUAUAAGUAACCGAUCCUUUUGACAACUCUACUUACGUCAGUUUGCAGUCUUCAUAUAUUUUAUCAAAAGAAAAUACAUCUGGCAACAUUUGUGUUGCCAAUUUUUCAGAAAUACUCAAUCUGACGUAAGUAGAGAGGUUCGUAUAUUACGAACACGAAUUAUAGCGACCGCCAUUAUGGUGCGUAAAAAGCUGGAUACACCAAUAUCGUGUAAUAUUAUCGAAAUAUUUUUGAUGAACUCAAGCGAACCCAAGUAAGAAUUUGACCCAGUAUUGACCUGGCGUGCUGCCCAAAGCGCACCGUAAAAUUUUCCACCACCGCAUGUGCUUAGUUCGUAAAUAAUUUCCGGCAUCUUUUUCUUAUUUGCGUUGUAUUACUAGGCAGAUUUGCCCUGACGCAGUAGAAUAAAUAAAUUUGCUAUAUGUUAAAACUUAUAACACAUUCCCCUAAUGCAAUAAUUCGAGACUACGAAGCUAGAAGAGAUUUUGAAGGCUGUUCGCAUCCACGCGAACUCUCAUAUGCGAUUGUCAAAAUGUGUGUAAUGACAAAAGUAAAAAUAUAAAACCAAAGUGCACAGGAAUGGUUGAAAAGCUAUAAUCUUUCCUUUUUAUCAGAUUUGAUAUAAUUUGUUUUUUCAAAUUUUAUGACUGUGUAUCACAUUAUAGCUUCAAGAUGUUUUAAUUACUUAAGUCACAAAGACCAGACUAAAGGCCCAAAUACACACACGGCGUGACAACGCCUUCCUGACGAAAAUUGUCAGUACCUUCUAGAAACCUUCUAAUGUGCCUUCUAGCAUCUACCACCUUCCACUCGUCUGCGAGGAAGGCACAAUCGCGCCAUCUUGAGCUACGCCGCGUGCAAACCUUCUUGUUGUCAUGCCUUCUAAAAUUUGUUUGUCGUCUACACGGAAGGCGGUAGUCGUAAUGAGAAGAAGGUGUGCAGUAGGCGCGAUCGGAAAACUGUCACAUUUUUCGCAAACUGCUGGUUCAUUGGAUAUUUCCAUUGAACUGAAGCAAGUUAGAUGGAUUUGACAUAUAAUGUAGGUUGUCAUUCUACUAGUUUAAUGGAUUUCAAAUCCAUCCAACUAGUACUAGUUCAAUGGAAAUAUACAAUGAACUAUAGUUUUACAACCUACAUUAAAUGUCAAAUCCAUCCGCCAUUAUCACUCGUGGAAAGCUGGAUAUUGUGAAAUGAAGUUUGUGAAUGUGGAUUCCUGCUGCUUGGAUUCAGGCGAAGCGCUUGGGAACUAUGGCGAUGCGUCAGUUUAUACUGCACAUUUGCCCAAAAACAUCAAGCAAAUAGAAGCAGCAGCAACCUCUCGGAAAUCGGUAGGCAAGCGCACCCAUUUUAACCGGGAUAAUUGGAACGACUAGUUGGUGGCAGCGCUAAUAGCACAGGUGGAGUUGCAUCCAGCCAUUUGGGAUGUGAAUUCACCCAGCUUCCGAAAUAAAAACUUAAAAGAUUCGGCGUGGGUAAAGGUCCGCACCGCUGGCAACAUGAUGAGCAUCGGUGAUGCCGAAUGUCGUCGCAAGUGGCAGCACUUGUGUAAUAACAACAACAAAUUAGCGAAUUCAUACUACAAUGCCAACUCAGGAGAAUCGGCAAGAGGAACACCGAAUUGGGUGCACUGGACUGCCAUGGAGUUCGUCCGCCAGAAUAGGGCAUCGUAUAGGACGAGCACAGAAUUGAAUUUGCUUCCGACAGUCAAAGUUUGCUGGAGGUGAAACAGCCCAACAACGAAAACGCGCCAAAAGCGUGAACCGGCCAGCGAGAACAGUUGAGUCAACGUCAAUGUCAACGGCUACGGGCGAAGCACUGGAGAGGCUCGACGUAAUCAUGGAAACGAUUGGAGCAGGAAAAACUAAUCCGCACUUGGCUGCAUCGAAAGAAUGGGCAGUAGUGCUAAACCAAAUGUCUCCAAUGUAUGCGGCGCGUGCGAAGUCAGAGAUCAAGACGAUGUUGUCGAAAUACUGGUCACUUUCGGUCGCAGCAGAGGAAGAGGCAGCAGAGAACCAGUAUCGAUCGGAAUUGGCGAAAACAAACAAAUGCAUCGUGAAAGAUUUCAUUGAUCAAGGCGUGAGCAACCCUUGUUUGUUUUGGGCGACGAUUUGGAAAAUUCGAUCUCAGCCGUCACACCAAGAUCGUCGUGUUCAAUGCCAACGGCGAGUUGCUGUCUGAUCCACCUCUCAUUGUAAAAGCGAAAGUCGCAGUAGGAUUGUGCAAAUCUGAUACAGAGCAACCGGAAGACAGACUCACCUUACAAUUGUAAUAGUUUCGUAACAUACUCACACAUACACGCACACACACGCAGACACACACACACACGCAGACACACACACAAACACACAAAUUAUGUAUAAUAAAACACAAGGAAAAUACAUCAAUACUGCCAUAUUUUAAUA